AGCAGCCGCGGUAAUUCCAGCUCCAAUAGCGUAUAUUAAAGUUGUUGCAGUUAAAAAGCUCGUAGUUGAAUUUCGGGGUUAGUAGGUUGGUCAUGCCUCUGGUAUGUACUGGUCUCACUGAUUCCUCCUUCCUGAUGAACCUUAAUGCCAUUAAUUUGGUGUUUUGGGGAAUUUGGACUGUUACUUUGAAAAAAUAGAGUGUUUAAAGCAAGCUAACGCUUGAAUACAUUAGCAUGGAAUAAUGAAAUAGGACGUUCGAUCCUAUUUUGUUGGUUUCUAGGAUUGACGUAAUGAUUAAUAGGGAUAGUUGGGGGCAUUAGUAUUCAAUUGUCAGAGGUGAAAUUCUUGGAUUUAUUGAAGACUAACUACUGCGAAAGCAUUUGCCAAGGAUGUUUUCAUUAAUCAAGAACGAAAGUUAGGGGAUCGAAGACGAUCAGAUACCGUCGUAGUCUUAACCAUAAACUAUGCCGACUAGGGAUCGGAUGAUGUUAAUUUUUUAAUGACUCA
rnacentral:rRNA from 1 species